GACGAACGCUGGCGGCGUGCUUAACACAUGCAAGUCGAACGGAAAGGCCCUGCUUUUGUGGGGUGCUCGAGUGGCGAACGGGUGAGUAACACGUGAGUAACCUGCCCUUGACUUUGGGAUAACUUCAGGAAACUGGGGCUAAUACCGGAUAGGAGCUCCUGCUGCAUGGUGGGGGUUGGAAAGUUUCGGGGGUUGGGGAUGGACUCGCGGCUUAUCAGCUUGUUGGUGGGGUAGUGGUUUACCAAGUCUUUGACGGGUAGCCGGCCUGAGAGGGCGACCGUGCACAUUGGAUCUGGCAUACUCCCCACACUCCUCCGGUCGGCAGUUGUCAGGAAUGUUAGUCGAUGGCCGGAGGCCUGAUACUACGACCUUCCGUGCGUGAUGAAGGCCUUCGGGUUGUAUACCACUUUCCGCUGUCACUAAACGUGAAUUACGUUAAUGGGUAAAGAAGCGCCGGCUAACUACGUG
rnacentral:rRNA from 1 species